rnacentral:rRNA from 1 species
UACGUAGGGUGCAAGCGUUAAUCGGAAUUACUGGGCGUAAAGCGUGCGCAGGCGGUUGUGCAAGACAGAUGUGAAAUCCCCGGGCUCAACCUGGGAACUGCAUUUGUGACUGCACAGCUUGAGUGCGGCAGAGGGGGAUGGAAUUCCACGUGUAGCAGUGAAAUGCGUAGAUAUGUGGAGGAACACCGAUGGCGAAGGCAGCCCCCUGGGUUAACACUGACGCUCAUGCACGAAAGCGUGGGGAGCAAACAGG